rnacentral:tRNA from 3 species
GGGCCCAUAGCUCAAUUGGCAGAGCUUCCGGCUCAUAACCGGCUGGUUCCAGGUUCAAGUCCUGGUGGGCCCACCA